rnacentral:tRNA from 1 species
UGCGGGAUGGUGUAACUGGCAACACGCUGCGCUUUGGACGCAGAGACUGAAGGUUCGAUCCCUUCUCCCGCAGCCA